CACACUGGACUGAGACACGGUCCAGACUCCUACGGGAGGCAGCAGUGGGGAAUAUUGCACAAUGGGCGAAAGCCUGAUGCAGCCAUGCCGCGUGUAUGAAGAAGGCCUUCGGGUUGUAAAGUACUUUCAGUUGUGAGGAAGGGKGUGUNGUUAAUAGCUGCAYCUCUUGACGUUAGCAACAGAAGAAGCACCGGCUAACUCCGUGCCAGCAGCCGCGGUAAUACGGAGGGUGCGAGCGUUAAUCGGAAUUACUGGGCGUAAAGCGCAUGCAGGUGGUUCAUUAAGUCAGAUGUGAAAGCCCGGGGCUCAACCUCGGAACUGCAUUUGAAACUGGUGAACUAGAGUACUGUAGAGGGGGGUAGAAUUUCAGGUGUAGCGGUGAAAUGCGUAGAGAUCUGAAGGAAUACCAGUGGCGAAGGCGGCCCCCUGGACAGAUACUGACACUCAGAUGCGAAAGCGUGGGGAGCAAACAGGAUUAGAUACCCUGGUAGUCCACGCCGUAAACGAUGUCUACUUGGAGGUUGUGGCCUUGAGCCGUGGCUUUCGGAGCUAACGCGUUAAGUAGACCGCCUGGGGAGUACGGUCGCAAGAUUAAAACUCAAAUGAAUUGACGGGGGCCCGCACAAGCGGUGGAGCAUGUGGUUUAAUUCGAUGCAACGCG
rnacentral:rRNA from 1 species